GAAGUCACUCUACCAAAGUGGAGGCAGUUGUGAGAACUCUGAAAAAGAUUCAAGUGACCAACCCCGGGGCCAAAUGUCUCGUCUUCUCCACGUGGCAGAGUGUCCUGGACAUCAUCGCCAAGGCCUUGUUUGACAAUAACAUGGAGUUUGCUCAAAUCAACGGAAUUCACAAAUUUCAGGAGAAUCUAAGUUCCUUCAAGUACGAAGAGAAGAUCAACAUUCUUCUUCUACCUCUCCACACGGGCUCCAAUGGGCUGAAUAUCAUCGAAGCAACACACGUGCUGCUGGUUGAACCAAUCCUCAACCCUGCUCAUGAGCUCCAGGCAAUAGGCAGAGUGCACCGGAUUGGCCAA